rnacentral:rRNA from 1 species
UACGGAGGAUGCGAGCGUUAUCCGGAUUUAUUGGGUUUAAAGGGUGCGUAGGCGGGCCUUCAGGCCGGCGGUAAAAUUGCGGGGCUCAACCCCGUCGUGCCGUUGAAACUGAUGUUCUUGAGUGGGCGAGAAGUAUGCGGAAUGCGUGGUGUAGCGGUGAAAUGCAUAGAUAUCACGCAGAACUCCGAUUGCGAAGGCAGCAUACCGGCGCCCAACUGACGCUGAAGCACGAAAGCGUGGGGAGCAAACAGG